CCCAGGUGCCCUGUGAGAACUUGUAAGAUUUCUUCCGCUAGCAACUUUCAAAGGCAAAAGGUUGUUGAACGCUGGCUCUCUCUGAAUGCCCCCAAAAUAACCCGUGCAGAAGGCCAGGCUCAGUUCAGUGCUUAUCAAGAUUUUAUCCGGAAGUCAUCUCUACAUCCAACCCGGGGCUCGAACUCACAACCCUGAGAUCAAGAAUCGCAUGCUCCACCAAAUGAGCCAGCCAGGCUUGGUUACCGUUCACAUAAGUGCAUGUAUGACCUGAGCAUUUGACCAGACUUCCUGGUGGCCCACGCAGUGGCUUAUGAGGUGAGAGGGAAGAAUCCAGCACAUGCAUGUGGGUAA